GCUGCUAUCUACACAGAAAAAAUCUCAUCAAACCCUAUCGGCAAAGUAUACAGCACAUUUAUCAUCACUACCACGUGACGUUGGAAAGCAUACAGUCAUGUCGCUGUUAAGACUUCUGAUCAUCGUCAUCACUAUGUAUCUGCUGAUGGUUGGAUAUAUGCUAUCCGAGGCUCGUGAUGAAGAGUGCAGUGACAAUUUUCCCGUAUGCAAACUGUUUCCUGAUGGAUGCUGCUUCUAACCCAGCCAUGUGUUCUCCAAACAGUCCGAGACACUACCUUUUGAAGAAGUUAAUAACAGAAAAAUCGUUACUUGAAGUUAAUCCUGCUUCUAUAAAUGGAAAUCAUGUUUGAAGAUGUUAAUACAGAUGUCUAAAAAUGCCGUUAAAAUACAAGUAGAGUACUUUCUUUCCGACAUGCUCUGUGUUUAAAGUAUAAGAUUUGAAAUGAACUUUAAAAAGCAAAACGAAUUCUCAAAACAAUAAAAAGAGGUGUAAUCCAAUUAUAACCGAUGUAUGUUUUAUUGUUUACGUAUACUGUUUCGGUGUGGUGAUUUAUAUUGUUGAGGAAAGUCACAAAAAAUCGCGUGUGAAGUAACCUACACAAAAAUCACAACAUGUCCACGAACAAAAUUUAUCAAUUAUUUUAUUUAUUUAUUUAUUUAUUUAUUUUUGGUAUUUAAAUCCUUUUGUUUACCUAUAUUGUUUUGGUGUGGUGUUUGAUCUUGUUUAGCAAAGUCACAAGAAAUGGUGUGUGCAAAAAGACAUCACAAACUACACAGAGGUCAGUGCACCACUCUCAUUUAAAACCCCUUCACAGUUUUGUGUAACCUUGUGGUAUAGUUACAGUCUCUGGGCAGGUAAGAAAGAAGACGAGCACAAAUGAAGUCUGAUUGGGUCAUGUGACCGGCACUAUAAGCUGAGUCUGUUCUUUAAAGUAUCUUGAAAGAAGAUGGAUAGUCGUUGGCCAAGGAAGAAAUGGUUUACGAAUCAAGAACAGUGGACUUGACUUCACAUACAAUACUUGAUCAUUAUCGUCAAAGAGACUCGGAUGCUGUCGUUAUAUUUUUCAAUGCGUGAACAAAUAAUUCAGACACAUACAGAUACACGUGGGCACACAAGGACACACACAGUGGAAGGAAUGUACGACUGUUGGUUAGAGUGGUCAACUCAGUCCAAGGGGAUACCUGUAAAUGUUAGCUCACUGUCCACCCAGCUUCCACCCUUCACACACCCUUUAUUCACACCAAACUUUCGCACGCUCCCGUACAGGUAAUUUCUGUUACUCACUUGCAUAAAUCAACAACUAACAACACAGUAACGGAAGACGAUUCUGUCCACAGAAGUAUGAGAAAAAAAACCUGAUACUAAUCUACCAUAAGCUGCACACCUGCCUAACCACGUGACUCCCUCAGAGAUGGCGGUCAGCACUACACAUUACGAUAUACUAAAGUACUAACACCUUCUCUCUCUCUAUCUCUGUCCACAAUCAGUGCUUGGUUAGUGUCUUUCUCUUUCUCUCCCUCUCACACACCGAAGUAGAUACACGCAGGCGCACGUAUGCAUUCCUUUCUCGUAAUAUUCAACAAGGGAGUUAACAGUAUUGGCAGUCCCUUACUUGUGGUUAACUCCCUGUGCGAGAUAGUGGAGAAAGUGAUAAACUAGAUGAUGCAGUGAAUAGAUAUGUAUUAAAUGAAAAAUACAGGUAAUGCGCUGAAUAUACCUUACACAGGUAAAUGUUAAAACGUCGUGUCGGCCAUUAGAAUGGUUAACUGUGUGAAGUGAAAGACUAACAACAGUUUUUUUCUUUCAUAUUUGUCUCCCCUGCCAUUAAGCAAAGCUGCCUUUUCCGGUUUCCGCUAUGUAAAGUUUCUUCUAUUGGUACAGCUUUCAGUGAUAUAUCUCAGGGAGAGACAUUUCUAGUUAAUGUACUCAUAUUCUGUUACAAUUAAUAUUUAAAUUUUUAACAAUUAUGGGUUUUAAUUUUCUGGGAUUUAGCUAACGUUUGGUUUUGAGACAAUCGGAAGGUUUCACGAAAGAGAUAAUUUUGCCUUGUGACUGUUUGAGCAAAACAUUGUACUUUGUCAUGGUAAAAUUAAGUAUUCCGACGACCUGGUGAAGAAUUUAGUGUUGAAAGGGUAGAAUUUGAAAAAUGUCACCAAAUUCUCGUAUAUGGAACCGUUUCUUUGUUCCUCCACGUUAUCAACGUGCCAGAUGUGUGUUUGAAAGAUGAU